UUGUAAGCUUUAGCAUGAAAAGAUUAAAAUGUGAUUUUUCCAUUAGUUUAUCUUUUUAUGACAUUAUCAUUAUUCGGGGUUGGGAUCAAAUUUUUAAAUUUAUUUCUUUAGUUUUAUUCGAGUUUGACUUUCUUUUGAGUCAGGUUUCGUGAAAAUAAAUUAUGAUUCUGUUUAAAAUCUGUUUAUAUCCAAACUCAUUUCGAAUUAAUAAUAUUCCAGUUCUUAUAUUUUCAAAUAUAGUUCUUUUUAACGAUUUUAGAUAUAUUUUUUAUUUAGGUUUUAAAUACUAUUUUUGAAUACUAAUUCAUGGUAAGAAUGUGAUGCAUAUGAUAUUGGUAUAGAUGUUGUCUUGAUGCAAAAAAGGAAGCUCGUUACUUUCUUCAUUGAGAAAUUAGGUGAGCAAUCUUAAACUACCUAACAUGUGACAGUGAGCUUUAGUUGGAGCUUUGCAAAUUUGGCAACACUAUUUUUGGCGUAAGGAAUUUGUCAUCCAUACGGAUCAUAAGUCUUUCAAACAUUUUAAAGGCCAGCAAAAACUGAACAAAAGAUAUGCUAGGUGGGUUAAGUUUAUAGAAGCAUUUUCUUAUGUCAUCCGCUACCUAAAACAUUGUGGCUGAUACACUCUCUAGAAAGUAUGUUCUCUUUUCCAUUCUCAAUGUUGAGUUGUUGGGGCUUGAAAAAAAUCAAAACUUACUAUAAGAAUGAUAUGAAUUUCAAAGAGGUGUACCAAUCUUGUGAAAAGUUUGCUCACAGCAAGUAUUAUAAGUUGGAUGACUAUCUUUUUUUGAAACCCGUUUGUGUGUACCUAACAGAUCCUUGAAAGAAUUGUUGUCAGGAAUGGAGAAGGUCUCAUGUGUCAUUUUUGAUGUGAAGACGUUGGAAGCUUUCAUGGAAUAUUUUUCUUUUGGAUGUAUAUGAGAAAAUAUGUGGAAAGAAUUUGUGGGAGAUGCACUACUUGCAAACUUGCCUUAGGUCAAUCACAACAGAGAAAGCAUCAGAUCACUGCGUUAUUCAUGGACAUGAAGCACAAGGAGACAGAGCUAGCAUAGAGACGUUGAAAAGGAUUGCUCACUAAAGCUGACACACAAACUAAAUACGGAUGGGGACUUGCUCUUGUUUCUUUCAAUCUUGGGACAUUGGCAACGGAUUUUCUGUAACUCAUUUCCUUAUAUGAAUGAAUCUACUCUCAGCAGAAUGCUUUAAUUGUCUCACAAGCUGUGUUAUAAGGGCUUUAUCGAUUUGUAAAUAA